rnacentral:lncRNA from 1 species
GUCAUCUGCUGUGUCCACACAUUAAGAAACGCUGGUGGAGUUUUAAAUGCCUCUCCGGGGAAGGAGGAAAGCCUGAGAAUGAAUCUGACCUCAGACCCAAAUCCAUUCAACGGAGUUCUGGUAAUUUGGAAGAAGGAAGAGCAACCUGGAAACUGACAGGAAAGGAUGACAAGUUGGGAGUCACAGGUACAGUAAACAAAGACAUGCCCCAGGGACAUCAGAGGUCUCUCUGCAUGGGGAUUAACAGGAGAGGAGGAAGCCCUGACAUGUCCAAUAAACUCAAUCAUCUGGAAGAUAGCUCAGUAGGUGUAUCCUUGACCCAGCAUUGUGGGAGAAGAUAUGUCUGGAAUGUGUAUAUCUGCGGGGAGUGAGAAAGGAAUGUCAGCAGUCAGGAUGUCUGCAGAUGGGGAAUUAGAAAUCUGUCUUAGUGUUGGUGGGACCCAGUUCAAAAGAGACUUCAGAAGGAUUGAUGGUUUAGACGGGUAAUCUAUAUAGGACCUGUUUAGAUGAACUUCAGUGGAAUGAGGGAUGAUGUAUUAGGAUAAUAAGGUUAGCUGUAACAAGCAACUGAGCUGUAACAAAGCCACUGACACUUCUCACUCAUAUUCUAUAGUCCAGUGAGGGUCUAGGGGACAGGGGUAGCUCUGCUCCAUCCAUUCAUUCAAGCCUAGGUUCUUUCCAUUAUGUGGUACAUAUGGCCUCUAAAAUUGUCACAGAAUGGGAAGAGGGAAUGCAGGUUGUAUGGAAGAUUUUUAAAUGAGCCCAGCCUAGAAAUGGCGCACAUUGCUUCUGCCUUCAUUCCAUUGUUCAGAACCUGAUCCCAUGGCAUCCGUUUGACUGCAAGGAAGCUGGGAAGUGUAGUUCAAAUUUGGGAGGUACUGUGCCCAGAAA